ACUCAAAUGAAUUGACGGGGGCCUGCACAAGCGGUGGAGUAUGUGGCUCAAUUCGAUGCAACGCGAAGAACCUUACCUGGCCUUGACAUGUACGUAGUAGAAGGAUGAAAGUCUGACGAGGUAGCAAUACCAGCGUACACAGGUGCUGCAUGGCUGUCGUCAGCUCGUGUCGUGAGAUGUUGGGUUAAGUCCCGCAACGAGCGCAACCCUUGUGUCCUGUUGCCACCCGGUGAAAGCCGGAGCACUCGGGACAGACUGCCUCGCUUAAACGAGGAGGAAGGUGGGGAUGACGUCAAGUCAGUAUGGCCCUUACGGCCAGGGCUGCACACGUACUACAAUGCCCGGCACAAAGGGAAGCAAGAUCGUAAGAUGGAGCAAAUCCCCAAAAACCGGGCCCAGUUCAGAUCGUCGUCUGCAACUCGACGGCGUGAAGUUGGAAUCGCUAGUAAUGGCGCAUCAGCUACGGCGCCGUGAAUACGUUCCCAGGCCUUGUACACACCGCCCGU
rnacentral:rRNA from 1 species